UACGUAGGGGGCGAGCGUUGUCCGGAAUCAUUGGGCGUAAAGCGCGUGUAGGCGGUCCGGUAAGUCCGCUGUGAAAGUCGGGGGCUCAACCCUCGGAUGCCGGUGGAUACUGUCGGGCUUGAGUACGGAAGAGGCGAGUGGAAUUCCCGGUGUAGCAGUGAAAUGCGCAGAUAUCAGGAGGAACACCAAUUGCGAAGGCAGCUCGCUGGGACGUUACUGACGCUGAGACGCGAAAGCGUGGGGAGCAAACAGG
rnacentral:rRNA from 1 species